rnacentral:rRNA from 1 species
GUGUCAGCAGCCGCGGUAAUACGGAGGGGGCUAGCGUUGUUCGGAAUUACUGGGCGUAAAGCGCAUGUAGGCGGAUCAGCAAGUUAGGGGUGAAAUCCCGGGGCUCAACCCCGGAACUGCCCUUAAAACUGUUGGUCUUGAGUUCGAGAGAGGUGAGUGGAAUUCCGAGUGUAGAGGUGAAAUUCGUAGAUAUUCGGAGGAACACCAGUGGCGAAGGCGGCUCACUGGCUCGAUACUGACGCUGAGGUGCGAAAGCGUGGGGAUCAAACAGGAUUAGAUACCCUGGUAGUCCACGCUGUAAACGAUGAAUGCCAGUCGUCGGGCAGCUUGCUGUUCGGUGACGCACUUAACGGAUUAAGCAUUCCGCCUGGGGAGUACGGUCGCAAGAUUAAA